GUCCCUAAAGGGGCAGAGAGAGUGUUUGAGAAAGUGUGUCACCCUCACAGAGUUCAGCCGCUCGUCACGGGAGGGAAAUGCAUUUAGGUCGACCGAGCGAGAGAGGACUGGGGCGUGAGAGCUAUUGAAAUCUGGCCAGCCCAGCUCAUCAUGGUCCAGUUUUCUACGCACACCAAUAAUGGAGGUGAAAAUGCAGAAUGGCUCAUCGAAAACAGGACGAGGGGUUACGGUCAACGGGACAGUGUCCACCCUGAAGAGGCAGCCGAGGCCCAAGACGGCGUCCAGCAGGCAGGAACGCGGCUCCUGUUCUUCAACAGCCUCUUGUCCAGUGUUCUCAGGAUGUCAGAGCGACCUGGACGAAAAGCUGCCGCCCCGCUGUCCAUCCAGCCUUUCCUCGCCCUCCCUGCACAGGCCUGGUUCCACCUCCAAUCUGAAGGGCUCCAUCUCCAGCCUGCAAGGUUCCUUGUCGAGCCUAAAGGGUUCGGUCGUCAGCCUCAAGAGCUUUCCUACGUCCUCGACACUGCAGAGCUCUAGUCUUAGCCUCCGGAGCUCCAGCUCCAGCCAGCGCAGCUCCAGUGAGGACGACAGCUGGGACACCAACAGCUGGAGCUCCGGCGCCACAUGCCUCCUGCGCAGUUCCAUUAAGCAGCACAGUGAAGAGGUUUUCCGGGUGCGCGCAGGCUCUGUGAGUCGACCUGAGGGUACGAGUGAUUCCGAGACAGGCUACCAGAACUCCGACAGCUGCCAGGGAAGUGUGGUGGGAUCGGAGAGCCAGGAGGGAGCGGAGCAGGUCGAUGCGGGGCGGAGGGAUUCGUCAUCAAGUCAGGGAACCUCUGGUGCUUCAACAGCGUCAUCCAACUUAGAGCAGAAGAUUGAAGAGAAGCUCAAGUUUUCUCAGUUUCUUGAUGAGGUUACAUGCAGGGUCCUGGAACCCGAGUGUCUGCAAGCCUUCGGAGUGCCCAUCCGUCAGAAGGAGCCACCUUGCCCACAAACAUCACCUCCCCAAUGCCUAAACCUAACCCCAGUUUCCAGUCCUUGGUUUGGAUCCAGUAUGGAUUCUGCCUGUAAUUCCAGGGACAGUAAUGUGUACAAGUGGGCCAAGUGCAUGCCAAGCUGCAAGAUUCUGGAUGCCAGUGAAACCCUGAGAAGAACUCAAGAGGAAAUGGAAAUGUUAGGAAGGACCUACCUAGAGACUGACAUAGACCGAGCACGGAGGGAAGAUGAAGUGAGUUCCACACAUCUACGAGACGUGGAGAAGAGAACUUUACAGACUAGUGGCAAAUCUUCUCGUGGAUGCCCGAGUCCUGUUUCCAAGCGCUCAGACGGGGCACCACGACCACCGCACCGCACCACCUCCCUCCCGAGACCCGCUGCGAGCGGCAUCACGGUUUCUGAUGGAGACGCGAGCAGCAGAAGGUAAAGAGCCACCUUCUCUCCUCUUCUGUCCUCUCCUCUCUUCUCAUUUCACUCCUUCUCUUAUCUUCUUCUGUCCUGUCCAAUCCUUUUGUCUCCUUGUCUCGUCUCUUCUCUCCUCUUCUCUUCUCUUCUCUUCUCUUCUCUUCUCUUCUCUUCUCUUCUCUUCUCUUCUCUUCUCUUCUCUUCUCUUCUCUCCUCUUCUCUUUCGUCUUGUCGUCUGGUUUCCUCUCCUCUGUCGAAUGUGUUUGUCUUCCUCCCUCCCUCCUCCGUCUCACUCUGGUUCCUCUGUGGAAUCUCAAUCUGUUCUUGUGUCGUGUGAAUGUUGACGUGUGUUUAGAGGUGGAACACACAUGUGAUCGUGACACGCAAACUCCACAGUCGGUGAGUGACACGUGUGAAGUGCUGCAUGAUUUAAUGUGUGUGUUUGAGUGGUCCGUGUGUGUUUCUCUGCUCUAUGCUCGAUUCACUGAUAUUUCACUGAUGAACUGUUGGAGAAAGAUAGAUGACGGGUUAUUCUGAGGUUAAUACAGCGGUUACUGAUAGUGGUAUUUCUGUGCUUCAUUAUAAAGAGAUCUCUGCUAGCAAACGCUGCUCAUUUAGUGGAUGUAAUGAGCUCUCAGAGAGAAACGUGGGCAAACGUCAGACUUCUCACUUCACUUUUCCAUGUUUUACUGGAUCUUCAUGAGGACAUUUUCUGAGGUUUUUCCCUCACAACGAAACACACACACUCUGUUUAAGCAGGUUUUUGAUCAUUCUCAGCUCUUUUGAACAGCAUCAUGUGUGUCACAGCGAGUUUAAUGUGAGCUUCAGAUGCUGAUGCAGAGAGUAUUUUGUUAUUUACAGACUGAAACGUUAAAACAAGAAGCUUCAUAUAUACAAUGUUAAAGUCAGCAUUAAAAUAAUUUUUUUCCAAAUGUAUGUUAUAGAUAUUUUCAUGAAUGAUUCAUUUGUGCAUUUUUUUAUUUAUAAUGUUUGACCUCAAUAUUACUGCAUAACUGGAUCUUCCGGUGAAUUUUAGGUUUCUCUCUGGUGACGAAUGCAGGUCUCCUCCAAUCAUUGAAUGUUUUUUAACCCCGCCCCUUUCUUAUAAUCCACUGCAAACUCACAUUCAGAUCCGCCUCUAUUUGUAAUUGCCACACCCACAUCUCAACAUCCAAUCAACAACUGGCAGAUAAAAUCCAAUCUCAGUAAUCUGUUUAGUCAGCAGGAGCCCAAAUACUGAAGUCCUUCAAAAAAGAGAGCGUCUGAAGAAACUAACUGGUCCCACGAAUCAAAUUUACACAAUCAAACGCAAGUGAAUAUUUGCAUCCAUCAACAGCCCGAAUGAAAAUGGAUCCUGUGUUCAGCUGAAGUUCUCGUUCCUGUGGAUUUUCUCUGGGUUCUAGUUAAUCUGAGUUUCCCUGCCCGACUGACAGCUUCGCUUUCGAGAAAGACCUUCAGCCAGCAGAGAUUUCCCAUCAUGCCGUCUGUCAGUGAACACAUGGAGAGCUUCCUGUAGCAGAGCUGAUUUCUGACGUGAAUCACAGCGUCUGUCGCAUCACUGCACUACGUUCGUUUGAUAUUCCAGCUGCACACCAACCCGAGAGCAUGUCUGUUCCACUGACGUGUUUAGAAUGAGAAGAAUAUACAGGAAUAAACAGACAAACAGAAGAAAACAAGAGUACAGCAGCUAAUAAUCACUCUACAGGCCUGAGCGUCAGUCACUGAGCACCUGAUGGAAAUGAUUCAGAGCUUCUUUCUUCCCAUUAGUAGAAGACAAGUGUGUCAGACAGACAGGAAGUAAGCAUUACAGACACAGGAAGUGUUUGUUAAACAGAAUGAUCAUUCUGUCAUCAGAUUACUGAUGCCAUUCAAACCUGCAUCUGUACUUUCUUACUCUUCUGAAGAUGUUUUGAGAAAUAAUUCAUGUUUUUGUAGAUGCAGUGGGUGCAGUGUUGUUCGGUUUACAUUGUUCUUCUUUUACAGAGGAAAGACAAAGGUUUGAGUGACAUGAGCGAGAGUAAAUGAUACAUAUCCAGUGAACAAUCGCUUUAACGAGUGAAUACUUAUCUUUGUGUAAGAGGAGAUCACAAACUGAGAGACUCUUCAUGCAAAACCAGAGUAAACGCCUUUUCUUUCUGCUUGUAAAGGAAGGUGUGUGUGUGUGUGUGUGUCAGCGG
ensembl:lncRNA